GGGGGUGCUAUACAUGCAAGUCGAACGAACUCUGGUAUUGAUUGGUGCUUGCAUCAUGAUUUACAUUUGAGUGAGUGGCGAACUGGUGAGUAACACGUGGGAAACCUGCCCAGAAGCGGGGGAUAACACCUGGAAACAGAUGCUAAUACCGCAUAACAACUUGGACCGCAUGGUCCGAGUUUGAAAGAUGGCUUCGGCUAUCACUUUUGGAUGGUCCCGCGGCGUAUUAGCUAGAUGGUGGGGUAACGGCUCACCAUGGCAAUGAUACGUAGCCGACCUGAGAGGGUAAUCGGCCACAUUGGGACUGAGACACGGCCCAAACUCCUACGGGAGGCAGCAGUAGGGAAUCUUCCACAAUGGACGAAAGUCUGAUGGAGCAACGCCGCGUGAGUGAAGAAGGGUUUCGGCUCGUAAAACUCUGUUGUUAAAGAAGAACAUAUCUGAGAGUAACUGUUCAGGUAUUGACGGUAUUUAACCAGAAAGCCACGGCUAACUACGUGCCAGCAGCCGCGGUAAUACGUAGGUGGCAAGCGUUGUCCGGAUUUAUUGGGCGUAAAGCGAGCGCAGGCGGUUUUUUAAGUCUGAUGUGAAAGCCUUCGGCUCAACCGAAGAAGUGCAUCGGAAACUGGGAAACUUGAGUGCAGAAGAGGACAGUGGAACUCCAUGUGUAGCGGUGAAAUGCGUAGAUAUAUGGAAGAACACCAGUGGCGAAGGCGGCUGUCUGGUCUGUAACUGACGCUGAGGCUCGAAAGUAUGGGUAGCAAACAGGAUUAGAUACCCUGGUAGUCCAUACCGUAAACGAUGAAUGCUAAGUGUUGGAGGGUUUCCGCCCUUCAGUGCUGCAGCUAACGCAUUAAGCAUUCCGCCUGGGGAGUACGGCCGCAAGGCUGAAACUCAAAGGAAUUGACGGGGGCCCGCACAAGCGGUGGAGCAUGUGGUUUAAUUCGAAGCUACGCGAAGAACCUUACCAGGUCUUGACAUACUAUGCAAAUCUAAGAGAUUAGACGUUCCCUUCGGGGACAUGGAUACAGGUGGUGCAUGGUUGUCGUCAGCUCGUGUCGUGAGAUGUUGGGUUAAGUCCCGCAACGAGCGCAACCCUUAUUAUCAGUUGCCAGCAUUAAGUUGGGCACUCUGGUGAGACUGCCGGUGACAAACCGGAGGAAGGUGGGGAUGACGUCAAAUCAUCAUGCCCCUUAUGACCUGGGCUACACACGUGCUACAAUGGAUGGUACAACGAGUUGCGAACUCGCGAGAGUAAGCUAAUCUCUUAAAGCCAUUUUCAGUUCGGAUUGUAGGCUGCAACUCGCCUACAUGAAGUCGGAAUCGCUAGUAAUCGCGGAUCAGCAUGCCGCGGUGAAUACGUUCCCGGGCCUUGUACACACCGCCCGUCACACCAUGAGAGUUUGUAACACCCAAAGUCGGUGGGGUAACCUUUUAGGAACCAGCCGCCUAAGGUGGGACAGAUGAUUAGGGUGAAGUCGUAACAAG
rnacentral:rRNA from 1 species